GACGUAGGGGGCCAGCGUUGCUCGGAAUUACUGGGCGUAAAGGGUCCGUAGGCGGUGCGGUAAGUCGGGAGUGAAAUCUCUGGGCUUAACUCAGAGGCUGCUUCCGAAACUACCGUGCUAGAGUGCGAGAGAGGCAAGUGGAAUUGCGGGUGUAGCGGUGAAAUGCGUAGAUAUCCGCAGGAACAUCCGAGGCGAAAGCGGCUUGCUGGAUCGCAACUGACGCUGAGGGACGAAAGCCAGGGGAGCAAACGGG
rnacentral:rRNA from 1 species